ACCGGAAAAAGAAGAGUGGCGAACGGGUGAGUAACACGUGGGUAACCUGCCCAUCAGAAGGGGAUAACACUUGGAAACAGGUGCUAAUACCGUAUAACAAUCGAAACCGCAUGGUUUUGAUUUGAAAGGCGCUUUCGGGUGUCGCUGAUGGAUGGACCCGCGGUGCAUUAGCUAGUUGGUGAGGUAACGGCUCACCAAGGCUACGAUGCAUAGCCGACCUGAGAGGGUGAUCGGCCACAUUGGGACUGAGACACGGCCCAAACUCCUACGGGAGGCAGCAGUAGGGAAUCUUCGGCAAUGGACGAAAGUCUGACCGAGCAACGCCGCGUGAGUGAAGAAGGUUUUCGGAUCGUAAAACUCUGUUGUUAGAGAAGAACAAGGAUGAGAGUAACUGUUCAUCCCUUGACGGUAUCUAACCAGAAAGCCACGGCUAACUACGUGCCAGCAGCCGCGGUAAUACGUAGGUGGCAAGCGUUGUCCGGAUUUAUUGGGCGUAAAGCGAGCGCAGGCGGUUUCUUAAGUCUGAUGUGAAAGCCCCCGGCUCAACCGGGGAGGGUCAUUGGAAACUGGGAGACUUGAGUGCAGAAGAGGAGAGUGGAAUUCCAUGUGUAGCGGUGAAAUGCGUAGAUAUAUGGAGGAACACCAGUGGCGAAGGCGGCUCUCUGGUCUGUAACUGACGCUGAGCUCGAAAGCGUGGGGAGCAAACAGAUUAGAUACCCUGGUAGUCCACGCCGUAACGAUGAGUGCUAAGUGUUUGGAGGGUUUCCGCCCUUCAGUGCUGCAGCUAACGC
rnacentral:rRNA from 1 species